GAUGAAGAACGCAGCGAAAUGCGAUAAGUAAUGUGAAUUGCAGAAUUCAGUGAAUCAUCGAAUCUUUGAACGCACAUUGCGCCCGCCAGUAUUCUGGCGGGCAUGCCUGUUCGAGCGUCAUUACAACCCUCAGGCCCCCGGGCCUGGCGUUGGGGAUCGGCGGAAGCCCCCUGCGGGCACAACGUCGUCCCCCAAAUACAGUGGCGGUCCCGCCGCAGCUUCCAUUGCGUAGUAGCUAACACCUCGCAACUGGAGAGCGGCGCGGCCACGCCGUAAAACACCCAACUUCUGAAUGUUGACCUCGAAUCAGGUAGGAAUACCCGCUGAACUUAAGCAUAUCAAUAAGCGGAGGA
rnacentral:misc_RNA from 1 species